UGGGGAAUAUUGGACAAUGGGCGCAAGCCUGAUCCAGCCAUGCCGCGUGAAGGAUGAAGUAUUUCGGUAUGUAAACUUCGUAAGAAUAGGAAGAAUAAAUGACGGUACUAUUUAUAAGGUCCGGCUAACUACGUGCCAGCAGCCGCGGUAAUACGUAGGGACCAAGCGUUGUUCGGAUUUACUGGGCGUAAAGGGCGCGUAGGCGGCAUGACAAGUCACUUGUGAAAUCUCUGGGCUUAACCCAGAACAGCCAAGUGAUACUGUCGCGCUAGAGUGCAGAAGGGGCAAUCGGAAUUCUUGGUGUAGCGGUGAAAUGCGUAGAUAUCAAGAGGAACACCUGAGGUGAAGACGGGUUGCUGGGCUGACACUGACGCUGAGGCGCGAAAGCCAGGGGAGCAAACGGGAUUAGAUACCCCUGUAGUCCCUGAGCGGGCUGGCAAGGCGCAU
rnacentral:rRNA from 1 species